rnacentral:rRNA from 1 species
ACAGCAGUAGCCGCGGAAUACGUAGAUGGCAAGCGUUGUCCGGAAUUAUUGGGCGUAAAGGGCUCGCAGGCGGUUUCUUAAGUCUGAUGUGAAAGCCCCCGGCUCAACCGGGGAGGGUCAUUGGAAACUGGGAAACUUGAGUGCAGAAGAGGAGAGUGGAAUUCCACGUGUAGCGGUGAAAUGCGUAGGGAUGUGGAGGAACACCAGUGGCGAAGGCGACUCUCUGGUCUGUAACUGACGCUGAGGAGCGAAAGCGUGGGGAGCGAACAGGAUUAGAUACCCGUGUAGUCCCUGUCUCUUAUACA